UACGUAGGGGGCAAGCGUUGUCCGGAAUCAUUGGGCGUAAAGCGCGUGUAGGCGGCUUGGUAAGUCUGCUCUGAAAGCCCGGGGCUCAACCCCGGGAGGCGGGUGGAUACUGUCAAGCUCGAGUCCGGAAGAGGAGUGUGGAAUUCCUGGUGUAGCGGUGAAAUGCGCAGAUAUCAGGAGGAACACCAAUAGCGAAGGCAGCUCGCUGGGACGUUACUGACACUGAGGCGCGAAAGCGUGGGGAGCGAACAGG
rnacentral:rRNA from 1 species